rnacentral:rRNA from 1 species
GUUGCAUUAUUAUUUGUAUGGAGCGUGUCCUAUCGAUCGAAGCGCACCGAUGGUGUUUCGCAGGGACAUGCUCUUUUCGCUGAUUUCCCUUGGCACAUUCCGUGCCGGAUGUUUAGGUGAAAUCGGGGUUCGCAAGUGAGGAGCUUUCCCAAAACACGGAGAGCCUGGGAAGGGAGAGGCCGAUUAUGACCCCUCGCUCCGCCGAGACAGUUGCGUUGGGUCGCGCACCACAUGCGGGCCGAGCCGACAAAGAUGAAUGCAAGCCUGACUUGCAUCACCGUUAGAUGAUACUACUUCUCGGGUCAUCCUGCUUGGCAGGUUUCGACAAUGAUCCUUCCGCAGGUUCACCUACGGAAACCUUGUUACGACUUUUACUUCA